rnacentral:rRNA from 1 species
GAUGAACGCUGGCGGCGUGCCUAAUACAUGCAAGUCGAACGAAUCUCUUUUAGAGAUGAGUGGCGAACGGGUGAGUAAUACAUAGGUAACCUGCCCCUGUGCGGGGGAUAACAGGAGGAAACUCCUGCUAAUACCGCAUAGCCAUGAGCACCGCAUGGAGCUCAUGCCAAAUAUCCUUUAUGGGAUAGCGCAGGGAUGGACCUAUGGCGCAUUAGCUGGUUGGCGGGGCAACGGCCCACCAAGGCAACGAUGCGUAGCCGGCCUGAGAGGGCGGACGGCCACAUUGGGACUGAGACACGGCCCAGACUCCUACGGGAGGCAGCAGUAGGGAAUUUUCGGCAAUGGGGGAAACCCUGACCGAGCAACGCCGCGUGAGCGAAGAAGGCCUUCGGGUCGUAAAGCUCUGUUGUAAAGGAAGAACGGCGCAUACAGGAAAUGGUAUGCGAGUGACGGUACUUUACCAGAAAGCCACGGCUAACUACGUGCCAGCAGCCGCGGUAAUACGUAGGUGGCGAGCGUUAUCCGGAAUCAUUGGGCGUAAAGAGGGAGCAGGCGGCCGCAAGGGUCUGUGGUGAAAGACCGAAGCUAAACUUCGGUAAGCCAUGGAAACCGGGCGGCUAGAGUGCGGAAGAGGAUCGUGGAAUUCCAUGUGUAGCGGUGAAAUGCGUAGAUAUAUGGAGGAACACCAGUGGCGAAGGCGACGGUCUGGGCCGCAACUGACGCUCAUUCCCGAAAGCGUGGGGAGCAAAUAGGAUUAGAUACCCUAGUAGUCCACGCCGUAAACGAUGGUCACUAAGUGUCGGGGGUCAAACCCCGGUGCUGCAGUCAACGCAAUAAGUGACCCGCCUGAGUAGUACGUUCGCAAGAAUGAAACUCAAAGGAAUUGACG